ACAAGUACCGUGAGGGAAAGUUGAAAAGCACUCUGGAGAGAGAGUCAAAAGACCGUGAAACCGCUCAGAGUAUAAGCCCAUGGCAGCUUGGAAGGCAUAUCGCUAGCGGGGCAUCGGAAACCGACCCUUCACGGGGGAGGGGAACUGGUGUUACCUUGCUCUUGUUGUGGCUCGUCACGGUAGGGGGGUCAAGUCCACAUCCCGCCGGCGAGUGGAGAGUUCUCGGGUGCGUUGAUGCUUGGCGGUUGACUUCGGUUGAUCGUCGGGCUCUUCGUUCUCGGUUCUCUUUGAACACGGACGUUCAGAUUCAAUUGCAAGACGCGAUAACCAGCCCACCACGGCACGUUGUGAGGUCACCCACAGGCUCGNCUUUCGAUCGCGGUCCUUGACGCCGAGCAAGCUCAAUGCGUGUCGCCGAUGUUCCUUACCUGGCUGCCCUUCGUCAGGAUCGUGGAACGACACGCGCUCAACAGUCAGGACCGGGCGAUGACAGAGUUCUGGUAUGAUCCUCUUGCGACGAGCCGGCUUCUGGCCAAAUUCCUAUGCACACUUCUCCCGCAUGUGCCGCGGGAGAUGGAGUCGACGGUCUGGAGCUUUCAGUAGUCCUCUCAGUCGGGCAAAGGAAAGAGUGGUGUAAAGUCCAAGCCCAU
rnacentral:rRNA from 1 species